rnacentral:rRNA from 1 species
UACAGAGGGGGCAAGCGUUGUCCGGAAUUACUGGGCGUAAAGGGCGCGUAGGCGGCCUUCUAAGUCGAAUGUGAAAUCCCCGGGCUCAACCCGGGAACUGCGUCCGAGACUGGAAGGCUUGAAUCCGGGAGAGGGAUGUGGAAUUCCAGGUGUAGCGGUGAAAUGCGUAGAUAUCUGGAGGAACAUCGGUGGCGAAGGCGGCAUCCUGGACCGGUAUUGACGCUGAGGCGCGAAAGCCAGGGGAGCAAACGGG